AUUGAACGCUGGCGGCAGGCCUAACACAUGCAAGUCGAGCGGAUGAAGGGAGCUUGCUCCUGGAUUCAGCGGCGGACGGGUGAGUAAUGCCUAGGAAUCUGCCUGGUAGUGGGGGAUAACGUCCGGAAACGGGCGCUAAUACCGCAUAUGUCCUGAGGGAGAAAGUGGGGGAUCUUCGGACCUCACGCUAUCAGAUGAGCCUAGGUCGGAUUAGCUAGUUGGUGGGGUAAAGGCCUACCAAGGCGACGAUCCGUAACUGGUCUGAGAGGAUGAUCAGUCACACUGGAACUGAGACACGGUCCAGACUCCUACGGGAGGCAGCAGUGGGGAAUAUUGGCAAAGGGCGAAAGCCUGAUCCAGCCAUGCCGCGUGUGUGAAGAAGGUCUUCGGAUUGUAAAGCACUUUAAGUUGGGAGGAAGGGCAGUAAGUUAAUACCUUGCUGUUUUGACGUUACCAACAGAAUAAGCACCGGCUAACUUCGUG
rnacentral:rRNA from 1 species